UAGGUUGAGGAGGCAGUGACCGUGGUGAUGGAGGAGGAGGUAGCCAACACUGUUUAUAUAUAUAUAUAUAUAUAUUUUUUUUUUUUAAUUGGGGUAGCCCCCAAAAUAUUGGGACAUAUAAAAAAAGACAACUCUGUUCCGCAGAGUAGCUGUUGACAUUAUAGUUGCGCAGGAACUUUGUUGACUCUAGAGAACCUCGGGCAAAUCGCACAUCCCCGUGGCGACUUUGCAUGCGGAUGUCAUCCAUAUCAACUUUCAAUGCCAGUUUCUGCACCUACCAUGGUGACCACGGGUAACAGGGAAUCAGGGUUCCCUGAGAAACGGCUACCACAUGCAAGGAAGGCAGCAGACGCGCAGGUGACCCACUCCCAACGCGGGAAGGUAGUGAUGACCAAUAACAAUACAGGACUCUUUAGAGGCCAUGUAAUUGUAAUGAGUCCACUUGAAACUUUAACUCUGGUCAAUUGGAGGGAAGCCACUGACCCAUGCGUGCUGCAGCUUAAACUCCACU